rnacentral:rRNA from 1 species
UACGUAGGGGGCGAGCGUUGUCCGGAGUUACUGGGCGUAAAGGGCAUGCAGGCGGUCGGACGCGUUUUGUGUGACAGCGGGUGGCUCAACUACCCGAGCAUGCGAAAGACGGUCGGACUUGAGGACUCGAGAGGGACACGGAAUUCCGGGUGGAGGUGGUGAAAUGCGUAGAGAUCCGGAGGAACACCGAAGGCGAAGGCAGUGUCCUGGCGAGUGACUGACGCUGAGGUGCGAAAGCCAGGGGAGCGAACGGGAUUGAGAGUACCC